UCUAUUAGCACCAUCGACAUACGAUUCAAUGAGACUGCAUUCGAAAACUGGCAGGAUUCCGGCGAGACCGAAUUUCCCGUGGGACGAGCACGAGAGGAUUAUCUGCGUCCACCUGACAGCCGCGACAAAAUAAUUUCAAGAUUCGAACUCGCCGAAAUUAUGCCAAUUGAAAUAUCCGGUUUCUCAACACGCGGGAGAAGGUGGUCAAGGUGGGAAACGGGGGAGCAGGACGGAAUUAGAACAUUAAGCUAUAUCGCGGAGGAACAGUGACGAGAGUAGACACGUGGUGAGAGAGGGAGAGAGACAACGGAGAGUAAUGCGUAAGAGGCGUAAUAGACGUAAUAGAGGAGGACGUGCAGAGGCGGACGGGGUGGCUACGCACGACGGGGCGGUAGUUCCUUGGAUAAUUUCGCGGACGGCACGGUUCGGCCGCCUUACUUACUGCUGUACGAAUCCACUGGGCUGCCAUCGCGCCGACGAUGAUCGAUGCGAACAGAAAAACGUGUGGCUCACGCUCGAUCGCGACUCUCGCUCUGUUCUCGCGAAAACGCGGAGCUCGCGUCGCUCGGCGCGCAGCAGUAGCGGUAAGCGGUAAAGGAAACCGAGACGAGAGGCGCACCGUGUCCCGUGAUUGGCCGCGUGAGUGCGACUUGAAAAGAAAAAAUACCUAAAAAAAAAAACGAUCUACUGUACAUUUUUAAAUAGAAGAAAUGCAAAAGUCACAUUUUGUAUCAAUGUGCAUAUUAUAUCCAUAAUCAUCAUGAAGGAAGUUUUUCACUGGCUUCUGGUUUCUACGUGCCCACACAAGGUCGCACCGUGCUCUCGAUUCUUAGCAACCUAACCUAAAAUAAUAAGGUUAGUAGGCGGUAGUUACACGAUCACGGCAUUGCGCGAGUUUAGGAAGACGGAGAUCGAAACAAAUGCAUUCUUCCCCUCCGGCCUGUUCUACGAUUCCUCGAGAUCCGUAAAACAAGGUAUGUGUAACACGAGCGUGAAGAAUUUCGAUCUUGCUUCUCACGUGCCGGGAAAAUGAUUAUUUCGCGAGGAAGAAUGCGGCAGGUCCGACAAGCUGACGGCGGCGGAGCGUGCAUCGCUGACAUUCCUUCCGCGAUCCACUGGAUCGACCCAAUUUGAUAUUUUUCUCUACUGCUCGCGGUCGAAACGUCCCAUGGUGAAGAACAUCGGGUGUGAAAUGACGAGGACGAAUGUGAGAAAUUUCGGCGAUCGUAAAUGGAUUUAGAGCAAUUAAAGUGCCUUCAACUUUCGGAUAUUAUCUUAAGAAGAAAGACGCAAAGUGAGAGAGGCUUCAAGAGCGUUGAAUCUGAUGUCUCCAUCGGAAGAGGAGGAGGAGGAGGAGGAGGAGGCCAACUUCUCGUGAGGCAAUCGAGUCUGAAAUUGUGGAACGAAGGAGUUGGAUUAGCACGACCGAAAGAGCGAGAAAGAUUCGGCGGAUUCGCUAAUUCCCUUCCGAAUUUAUCGCGCUGGAAAAGCAAAAACUCGCCCAGCGAAUUCCGGUCGCGCGCGGUGAUGAAUGGAGUGGUGCGACGCACCCGACGCGAUUACGCUCGUGGAACGUCGAUAAAAAGGGAAAGGGAAAGAGGAAGAAAAAAAAAAAUCUGAAGAAACGUUAACACCUUGCGGGACGCGAUCGCUUCGUGAAGCACACGGAUGAAUCGGACACCGAAUCGAAUACAAGUUUAGGCGUUUGGCGAGACGAGUUACUAGCAACAAAAAAAAAAAGUGUGACGCAACAUUGAAUUAUCGGAACAAGCACGGGCGAACGGACAAUUUUUUGCGUAUGCCACCCGUUAGACACGUUAAGAUGAGGCUCUCGGUAUAAACGGGAUGAGAUGGGAUGGGACGAGAUGGGAGUCAGAGGCUCGUUAGCGGCACGAGGGGAGUCAACACUGUUGCCAGAUUGUUAUCCCUACCUUGGAUGAUGCAGUCUCGCCACAGCGAGGCGAGUGCAACAAGGCGCUCUGCAACACCCGACAACUUUGAAACAUGUUACGCGAGUAUCAUUCGAUUCUCGCGCCUAUGCGAUUCCUACCUGCGGUAGUGGUGAGGAUAGGCCGCUUGCGCGGCUUCAAAAGUGUCAGAAUGGCGACCGCGACGGAGACCAGGCACACCGUCGCGAACACGGCCAUCCAAGCCUCCGCGAGCCUCUUAUCCUUUUGGGACCAAAGGAUAUCGGCGUCACAAGCGGCGGCGCAUUUUCCAGAGCGAUUUAAGAAGGUGUAUAAUCCGGAUUUGGCGUACCAGGAGCAGCCCCAGGGUCCGUUGCUGGUGCUCACCGCCUGAAUAAACGAACGGAUUAGCCGGUCCUGGCUCGCCCGGUCCUUCCAUGCACAUGUGUUGAUGAUUGUUUUCCGGUGGAAACUUGGAGCAGUUCAGCGCGGCGGGCCAGGGGAAGCCAAAUCCCUGAAGAACUGGGAAACAACGGGCUCGCACUUGCUCGCACAAGCCUCGACAGGGGCCGAUAGGUGCGGGCACCUUCUCGGUACACAUUGGAGCAUACACCGAGCACAGAAAUAGAUGCAAUUGCGCACUGCAACAAUCAAAAGAUUCUAUUUUAGAAAUUAUUAUUUUUUAAAUUAUUCAAAGCUUGAGAGAGUUAUGAAAGCGCAUUUACCUGCAUCCAUAUUGAAUAAGCGGGCUGAACGUUUGCAAAGUAAAAUCAGCAUCGCCUUGGAUCUCGUGACCAACUAGAUUCGGCAUGACAGUGACAUUGUAGCCGAGACCGCGACACAUUUCGAUUCUGAUCGGCUCGCAGGCGCCGUGCGCGCACCAUAUUGCGCGCACCAACGUCAACAACGUGAGUCUCGCUCAUUACGCACGUGUUAGCAGUGGCACUCGUCACUUUCCGGGGAAGGAAACUAUAUACGUGAGCACGUGUGCACGCUCUGCAUCCAACAAUGAUUGAUCAACGAUCCACGAUUCGGCGUAAUGUUGACGCGCGACACGCGCGCGUUUAAACGACGUAGCGUUGACACAGGAGCGCGAUUUCAAACGCGAGCUGUUGCAGCAGCCGAUCACAAAGACGACCGCAUCAUAAGACGGUCGCCUUAUUUUCACGCGCGGAAACGUUGCGGAAAGCGAUCGCGCGUGCUACAAUGAUCCCCCGACGGGCGGAUCAUGGCGAAUUUAAUCGCGAGUUAAUCGCAGGAUUAUUAAUGUCCGAGGCAGGGAUUUAAACCGCGCGCUAUCCUCGCUCCUCGAAGAUCUCCGUGCGACUAAACGCACUCGUCCACGGAUACGGAGAUCGCGCCCUAGCGUGACGUCUGUUUAUCCCUCCCCUCCAUCCCCUCCUUCGCUCGUUCGUUUCUUUACAGGGCCUUCCCCUCUCUCCACUCCGGCAGAGGUUUCCAUCGUCCCGUCGUGUGCCUUCUCCGUUGUUCACCGCAUGGCGAUCAGUGGCGAUCGAGUCCAAUCGACUCGAUCCGACUCUGAUUACUCUGCGUUCGGUAUGCGGCGCGGAAUCAUUUUUGUAUAUUACGUUUCACGUGCGUAUAUAACUUAUAAAGAAAGAGAGAGGAAAUGAGCAUAUUUUAAGCCUGAGCGGUUGAACAUAAACGCGCGUUGCGAAAUAGCAAAAGAAGUCGUUCUCACGAAGGAGUUAUCGGUCAAGAGAUCUCACGGAACUUGAUAAAAAAAAAAAAAAAAAAAAAAAGUAGAAGCAAACUCAGAAAACAUCGAGGUCGUUGUGGAUAUUUGUAAAAUAGAGUAAUUUCAGUAUAUGCGUCGCACCAAUCGAACACUUGAUUUAUCAAGUACUAUUUAUUAUGUUUAAGACUUUUUCUAUUUCUUCCAAAAAUAUAUGAAAGGAACCUCCUCCGAUUAUAUUUAAUGAAUAUUUAAGAAACGUUAUGCUUUUUUGACGUAUAAAAACAUUUGUUUAACAUUUUUAAUGUUUAUGUCUAGAAAUUGUCUAAAAGAUGUGUCUAAAAAGAUUUUACUAGACAUAAUUUUUUAGAAUUCCUAAAAAAACUCUGUGAACAUCUUAAAAAAAAGCUAUUUUUAAAAUUAUUCCGAAAGAUAACUUAAUUCAAUAUAUCUGAAUGACAUCUCAAAUUAUUGCAUGUUUCGAAAUUAAAAAAGAAUUCAAGACAUCUUAAGACAUGGCAAAAAUAUCUUUGAAAAAUUUAAAAGAUAUAUCUCUUUGCUUAUAUGAGAAAUAUUUAUCAUCUGGCGAGUUGAAAGUCUUGCGUGGAAGGAGGAGGUUCUUACCAUUUCGGCAGCUGCUACAUCUACAAGAUCCGUCGAGAGUAGAUUAGGAGGGAGGGAAGGGCACGCUCUCAUUAUCAUAUCCUGAUGUUUGGCAGCGGUUAAGGCUGCCUUUACGGGCUGUAUUUUCUUGGUAUAAUUGGGUCUGGAGUUCCUCGGGUUCCCCUUCUCUCGUAUUCUCCUUUCCAUCUCGUUUCUUCGUUGCUUUCUCCCUCGCUCGUUCAGAGAUUCGGCAUUUAUUGCAGAGCGACUCGGCAUUCUCUCUUGUUGUUCCUUCCUCGCUCGAACGGGGUGAAAAAUUUAUUAGCCCAAACUACGUAAAAAAAUAGCUUUGUCACGGACAUUCGUGCCGCUGCGUGCCUUUGAAAGCGCGCUCUCGAGAUUGCAUAUCCGCCCUUGGAUUUCUUUCGUAAAUGAUGUUCUUUGAUCUGGAAAAAUUCCUGGAAAAUUUGCAGAAAAAAAAUUUUUCCAGGUUUUUUUCUUUUAAGAUAAUAUCACUUUCCAUACAGCACAGUAUAUUACAGCGUCGCAAAGUUCUUGCAACAUUGUUGGAAUGUAUUGUGUAUGGGUUUUUUGUCCCUCUACGUCAAUCGCUUUAAGAUUUCUUUCUCACAUUUAAAAACUAUAAGAAAUAAAUAAUUUAUCAAUAAAGUCCGCUGUCAUUGUCACAGUGUUAUCCGCAUUUUUUCAAAAGAAAUGGGAAAAAUCGGGUUAUUCCAUCAAUUUUAUUUUUCUAAAAGAGAGAAAAAUACUAGUACUUCAUUACUUCAGCUGUUUUUCUGCAUUUCUCGGGAAAGAAAACAGAAAAAAAAUUUGUUUCGUUUUCUUCCUUGAUUUUAUUUUUCUGAAAAAUCAAGAACAGUCGUUUGCGUCAAAAGAGAAGGUCCUCGUCCGUGUCGUCAAGCACGUUGGCGUUCCGAGUGAAAUCGUAAGAGGAUCGCCUGUCGCGUUGCUUUGUCUUCCGCUCCCGUAUUUUCUUAAGGCGAUAGAAUUCCUCUCGUUCGUACUCGUCGAGCUCGGUGAUGAUGUAGGCGAGGGUUCGUUCUAAUCGUGGUAUAAUGAUGUGCCGAAGAGCGUUUACGCGACGUCUCGUCGUCUUGACUGCCCGGUCGAGGAUCUGAAAGUUGCGCUGCAAUGAUGCCAAUUCGACCAGUAGAUUGAUCGCCUUCUCGUAAUUUAUCUUCAAUUUAGCCACCUGUUGGCAUACGGCAGCUUGCGGAUUACCGACAGCGACGUGUACAAUUGAUCAAAUUAAAGAGGCUCUCCAGUCUUUUCAUAUAAGAUCAAAUUUUGAGAAUAAGUUUAGAAUUUAUAAAAUUAUAAGGCUUAUCAUUAUGACAAAAUAAAUAAAUAAAUAAUUAAUAUA